rnacentral:misc_RNA from 1 species
CGGCGGAUGCGCACCGGAUGCUGCUGAUCAUCUAUUACCUUGCUGUGUGUGUGUGAGUUCGUGAGCGUACGCGCUGACGCCUCUCUUGACCGUGCUCAGGCCUUCUCUGUGCUUCACAGUUGUAAGUUCUCCCCCCCUCCCCUCUCCCUUCUCCAUCUUCUGCUAUCCUACGCGAUCCCAUCCACGCAGCGCGGCAAAUCCAGCGCGGCAAAUCCAGCGCGGCCGUCCUCCUGGCCACCGUUGGUGCUGCCGUAGUUGUCGGGGCUGUUCAUAUCGCAUCUCUACGCCUCUCUCCUCGUUUCUUUAGCCCUCAGCGACUCGGCACAUGCUGUCUGUGGCGCCUCCCUCGUCCACCGGGUCACCGAUUGCGUCCUCUCAAGCGCCGUCGCCUUCGCGUGACGACGCCGCCGGUGCUCCGCCCGGCGCGGCACCAACGGACUGCCUCUCCUCUCCGCUGACUGCAUUUGCUCCUAGGACGGAGCCUGGCUCGGUGCUCCUCGUGCAUCCAGGUGCUGUCAGCAGCAGUAGCCUUGCUGGACCCUUCAGGCCCUCGGCGAUAGCAGGCGCGAUGCGCAGAGUUAGCAGCGCCAGUGAUAGUGGUGUUGGAGCCGGUGUUGCGUGCGAGUCGAUGACGCUAACGAGUCUCUUGCCUGCGGCACACCCGCAGGCUCGGUGCUCACCGCGUCGCUGGCAAGCUCGCAGUGGAUUGCGAUCUUCGGCAAUGCAAGGCCUGCCCACCCCUGCUCUGUCUUCGAGCGCCGCUGCGGCAGAUGCUCCCCCUGCUGUUGCCGCGACCACAUCCGGCGCCGUCUCUCUGCAGACUAGAAACGCCGGGCCCAGCAACCAGGCUGCAACGCCGCUUGCCAGCUCCUACAGCAGCCACGACAGUGACGCAGCGUCGCCAAGCGCGUCGCACACAGGUGCGCAUCGCACGACGGCCGGGCCAACGCACGCCGAAGGGAGGGAUGUGGCUGGAGCGCUCGCUGCGAAUCUCGCUCAAGUGGACGUCUCCGUUAUGAGCGGCGGCUGUUCUGCACCGAUGCGACCUUCCUCGCACACAAGCCCGAGCGCUGCACAAGAUGUGCCAGUCUACUUGAGCGCCACCACCUCGGAUGCCGCGUGCACUACGCGCUCCUCGACACAGCUGAUGUUGGCGGCUGCACCAACGUUGGCAGCGACGGCGAACUCGUCUGCGUCCCCCUACACCUCAACAGUGUGGUGGGCAUUCACCACGCCGCCGUUUCGGCACUCGCCGCAGGUGCGCUAUACGUGUCACAGCACCGACCCCAUCGGAAUGGGCACGGGCAGCGGCGGUCGGCUCUCGGCCACCCUACCCGGCUACAUCGCAGCGGGCACCGCCGCUGCCAGUGAUGCGGCGGAGAGUGUAGAGGCGAGGCCACGCUUGACGGGGACGCUGUCCUCCUCGUCCUCGUUGCCAUCUUCUUCCCUGCCCGUGUACUCACCCUCCCGCGCUGGCUCAUCGGCAGCGGUGCCGACUGCUGGGCCACCGUCCAUGCCCUCUGUGAACAGCGUCGCCGCCGGCGUGGGCAACGCGGGCUCAGGUGUCCUUCUCUUUCCUCUCCAAGCCUCCGUGCCAGCGCUGCGAAGCUCAAAUCCAGAAGACGAGGCUGCAGCUGCUGAGCUCGUACGUGGGCAACAGCGGCAGCGGCCGCCGCCGCAGCAGCGCCGGCAUCAGGCGAGCAUUGGUGUGCCUGUAGAUGUUUCAGCAGUGUUGGACAGCCGUGAGGAGACCGGCGGCACUGACGACGACCACCGUCACCGCCAAAGCCGGCCGCGCGGGUCAACAAGCUCGUCCAACUACGCCACCCAUGCGCGGCAGCAGGGGCCCUCGCUGCAGCCUCCUGAAAGCAGCGGAACUGCGGACAGCGAGGACAAGGACCAGCCAGCUCGCCAGAACUCGCGACGUGCUCUCGAUGACCCCAAAAUAUUCAUGUGCGAUACGGAGAGCAACGCACCCGGCACCUUCCUCAUGCGCUGCGAGGAUGAGGGGAGCUUCGUGCCAGAAUCCGUGCGCGUUCGCAGAGAUGUGGAUCGCACCGCCUAUCACGCGAAGGCGCCGGGGGGCAAUACGGCCAACCACUCCCUCGUGCCUGGGUUUGCGGGCUUCGACGCCCUCGACGAUGCGGUCGCGGCCAGGGCACCCGUGACGGCGGUCAGAGGAGUAACAGUGCAGGACCAAGGCGAGAGUGUGCCUGCGCGGUCCCACUCGUCUUCUCUUCUUACCUUUUCGCAGGAGCUGCAGCGCACUCUACCACCAUCCGCGGUCAUCACCGCCAGCGACCAUUAUCGACGUCUCAGGCAGCAGGCCACGGUGCAUCUGCCGCCAUCACAGGCCUCCGAGGCGGUAGACGUCGAGGGGCCAGACACAGCACAACAUCACUGCUCAUCACCUGCCGCCCAUCGCAUGCACUUGCACUUCUCACGUUGCUGCUCAGAGCCGCCCUGCGAGGCAGCCAACUCCACGAGGCUGAGCGCGACGACACCACCGCUGAGGCUGCGUGCUGGCGUCCCGCUCUCCGUGUUACCGCCGCGGAGCUCCUCUGGAGCGACGCAGCCGCCACCGACAACGCCGCCGGCCGGCGAGCAUGAACGCGACAGGAGCGUCGAGGAAGAAGUGGAGGAUGCGGCCAUAGACUCUGCUCACAGCGGAGAGACCGCUCCAUUUCUGACGGCCCACUCGUCGUCGUCUUCCGUGACAGAUAGCUCAUCGCGCUCGCCGGCGACCACCUCGGUGGUGCAGCAAAUCCACAGUCACCAUACAGCAUUCGUGACGGCCGCGUCCUCUUUCAGGACACAUCCACCCCCGCCAGCUCCCGUGACAGCGCCUUCCGCAGCGGCGUCAACGACGCCUCUGGAAUCUCCAGCGCUUCCGUCGUGGAGUCGAGAGAAAGUGCAGCGACUCGCCACCCCACCGCUGGCGGGCUCAGGUUUGCUUCGGCUGAAGCUUUCGGCCACCGCACCGGCGGCAGCGUCGAUGGCGCAGGGCCGCUCUCCCCGCACGCCGGGUAGUCAGCGUGAGUCGCACUUGAUGUCGCACGUUCGCGUCGCCCUCAUCGACGCGCGGAGCGUGCGUAGUCAUCUGGACGAGUUGAGGGCGCUUCUCCCCAAGCAUCGCACCGGUGCCGCGGGGGCGACGACGGCGCAGGACAUCACGGGCGCCAUCGCUGGCCACAGCGAGCCUGCGGGGGCCACCCGCCGCGUCUCCGCCGAUACCCAAGAUAGACAGCACACAAGCGCAAGCAGCGCAGCAGAUGUUAGGGCACGCAGCGAUGAGGCGGGUGAGAUUGGCGAGAUGCUUGGCGGCGAGGAUUCCGCUGACAUCGUGCACUGCACGACAGCCAUGAGCCCGCUGAACUUCUCUCUCCUGCAGAAUAUGCUGAGGGACAGGAAGGCUGAUGGCAUCGGUGAGGGCUGCGGCGGUUGCCGAAAUUCUCUACGGGCUCGCGCAGGCACUGGGAAGGCUUCUUCACAGCUGCAGAAGUCGCAAGGCUUGCACCGCAACGGCAGCGGCGUUGGCGGUGACGGCAGCAACGACGGCGGCCGAUCGCCAGCGACGACGCUCAGCGUUAGAGGCCUCUACACAUCGUCGCUUAACGCCUACCGGCAUCAGCGGCUAACGCGACUUACCGAACAGCACCUUAAGUCCCUGUGGCUCGGCGUCAGCGCUGUCGCGAAGUCGGUGUGUGGCGUCGCGGUCGAGCAAUGUGUGGAGAUGGACCUCAUACAGGGGCCGGCGCUGAUGGACGGGCAGGUGCUGCGUUUCCCGAGCGACACGGCUGCUGCUGCGGCAUCGGCGGCGCCGUCGCUGGCGAGCUUAUCCUUCGGGGCCUCGCUGCAGCAGCAACUUCAAUGUGCAAGGCCGCCAUCGCCGUCUUCUACCGCCUCGACUGCCUCGCCAAACUCACAGGGCCCACUGCAGCCGAGCGGCGCCACUGUCUCUGCGCAAGAUGGGGAGGCCACGGCGACUAAGAAGGCGUCUCGCGGUGCCUCGAAGCCGCCACCGCCAGCAGAUCUGCCCGACCCUAUGCCGUCUUUCCACUUCUCAGAGGCCCCACUGACAGCAGCACCAGCAGAGAGAGAGGCUGUCGCCGGUGGCGUGCAGGCGUCGGCGACAGCUGCUACGGCCGAGGCCACAGUGCAGCGACUGGCUAGCACCAAGAGGGACAACUCGCCUUUGGGUUGCCACCGCGACUCCCAGCGCCGAUGUCUCGACGAGUCGGCGCCACUGGACAGCGCCAUGGCGGGCUGCAACGGGUGUGCCCCCUGGCCUUUGCUUGCACGCACCGCCGUGUCGGCCACUGCCGCCAGUGACUCGGCCAUCACAUGCACGCACGGCGAGGGGGAUGCGAGAAUCAACUCCCGCUCUUCCGCCGUGGCCCCCACCUCGCUGACGACGCGCGCAAACGCGUCCACGAACACGAACGUGAGCACCGUCGUGGAACACCCCUACGCCCACUCGGACUGCUACCGCAGCGGCGACCGCAGCCGUAGCUGCCGCCACCACAGCACCACAUCGUCGACGUUGUUGUCGAAGUGGUCGAACGCGCCCACGUCGGGGAUCAUAUACAUACACAACACACCGGCAAACCUCAGCAGCACCACGACUUUGCCCAGUGCACUGAGCAACAACGGCAGCAGCAGUGGGAGCCGCAUGUCCAACACCCCCAGCACUAGCUUUAGUGCUCGCGGAGGCAGCGGCGGCUACGUGGUCGGUACCGCGGCAAGUUCGCUUUCCGGCUUGCCGAGGCCAACAGCAUCGACGACGGCGACCACGGCUGGCGGAGGACAGACUCUGUACACGUUGCCCUCCACCCUCCUCCAGCUACAGCAACAGCUGCCGCAGCACGGCUCCUCGUCGCAGUCGGCCCCGUCCGCGUCCGUAGACGGCGCUGCCCCUCCUAGCUCGUCCGCGUCGCCGCCAGUAGCAACGGUUACCCACCUUUUUCCCUCGCAGCACCAGCCACUUGCUCGGGGCUGCACCGCUUCCGCUUCCGCCUCCGCCCCGCCCACCGCGCUGCCUCAGCACAGCUCUUCCACCUUGUGGCACUCGGAGGCUGGCGGCAGUAGUUGCCCCCUUGCGGGUUCGGCGCCGGGGCCCAUGUGGAUGCUGCCGCCGCCGUCACCCGCAUCGCCUCCUCCACCCGCGGCGGUUCACAGAGGUGCCGCCGCCGCAGCGAGCGGUGCCUCCGGGGCGUUGGUUGUGGCACCGACGGUGCCGAGUGCGUUGCCCAGCCCCUACGGGGCAACGAGUAGCGGGGUCGAUGCUGGCGCGUCUGCUUUACAGGGGCUGUGCACGCGUUCUUCAGGGCUGGCGCCGGCAACGCCCUUCACGUCUCCGUCCGGCUCGACGUUGAUCUCCUCACUGCUGGUCGCCAUGCCGAACCCUCCUCCCCUCAAGGCACCGUUCAUCAAGGUACAGCGAGAGGAGGUGGCUGCCGACACGGCGCCCGAUUCGCACUCCAACGCUCGCGUCAGCGGCGCACAGCGCGCCGUUGCUGCUUUCUCGGUGAGCACCAGCGGUACCGCGGCCCAUGCGCGAGGCGAGUUUCGUGGACAGUCACCGGUCUCCUCCGCUCUGCUACUUACAAGCCACGAGAGACCUGACGGAGGUGGCGUAGAGGCGCGCACGGGAACCGCAGCCCAGCUCGGUUCCACCGCGGCUGUUGCUAGGGAAGGGAUGGCUCGAGGAGGGACGAACGGCGUGUCGAACAGCGUUGGCGCCGCACCGGCACUGCCUCCGGCCAUCGUCUCCCCGUACGGCAUGCUAGCCGAGGGAGAGCUGUGUGUUGUGGCCCCCAUUCAUGAUUCGACGGAGUUGCUUGCACGCGAGAUACACGGCAGCGGCGACACACCCACCUCGUCCGGAGCCAAGCCGGUGAUGAUGCCGGGCUCACCCCUGGCUUGGCGAGGCAGACUCGAGGCUCGCAGCAGCAGUUCUGUGCGCCGAAGUGCUGCCACAGAGGCGUCAGUGACGACCGCGGGGCUAGUGCCACUCACCACGAACGAUAGCAGUGAGGGUGUCGAAGAGUUGUCUGAGCCGUUCUCACUGAUGCGCGCGGCAGCGACGCCGUCGACGCGAGGGCGAAUGGGCGUGUUGGGCACCACCACCUCCACCGCCGCCGCCAGGGCCAUCACCUCCAAGACUACGGCUACGACCACGACCACCACGAACACAGCAUUGCCCACCCCAGGCAAUCAUCCGUCGCUCGGCGGUAGCAUGGGCGGCGUUGCGAUGCACUUCAGCCUUCCAUCGACGAGCACCCCUCGACGGCAGCCGCAGCUGCAGCACGCGUUGCCUUUCUCUUCACAUGCCGGCAGCCACCAGCAGGACGUGUGUCUUCAUGAUAUUCGAUCGCACGCCACUACUGCUACUGAAGCGCAAGGGGGCGAGGCGGCAAGCACGGCGCUGCCCUCGGCCACAGAACAGCCGCUGGCGCCGUCACAGCAGCACCGCACGAGAAGCAGAGACGAGUCAGUGGGGCGCCGUGACGUGCAAGCGCUGCCGCUCCUGCGGUCCUCGCUGCCGUUGGAUGGAACAACACCGGCGUCCGCCGUCUCUGCGAACGGUGACCAGCAACAAGCGGAUAAUGGCGAGAGUGACGGCACUGACGCGGCAGUAAAGGCGUCUCACCGGCUCGCCGCGCAUGCGGCGGCAGAGGGGCCGAGGGCGGGCAAGGCGUGGAAUAACGAUUUUUCUACGGGUGCCGGCUCGGCGAAGCUGAGAGACGAGACGGGUACCUCUUCGGGGUUCGCCGCGGGUCACGACUCGACCGCCUCGCCGCCGUCGCCGCGGCAGCGACAGGAUGAACAGGAUGCGGGCUCCGUAGCUGCGCAUCCGCGCGCGGCGUCUGCAGCAAGCUCGUCGCUGUCGUACACAACUAUCUCUGCUUCCACAGCGGAUGCCACGCCGGCUGCCGUGACGGCGAUAUCCGUCUCAGGGACGCGCGUGCCGUCCUCCGCUCCCUCAGCAACACUGCCGGCGCCCCUGCGAGCCGAACUGCAGCCGGGGUACGGAGGCGAUGGUGCAUCCCUCACACGCCCCAUGAACACCGCCGGCUCUGCCCUUAACGACCUUGGCGACGACGAGGACACGAAUACGGUCGUUAAACGCAGCGGCAGCAGUGAGAGCAGCAGCAGCGCCUCGCAUACACCGUCACGGGAGGCACUGCUGAUGGACGGAACGCGGCAUCGGCAGCUGCAUGCGGUGCUUCCAUGGGCGCAGUUGCGCCCUCCACCCACACCGACGUUGAAUACCGCGUCGUUGACGAUGUACUCGGCCAACCGCGCUGACGCGCUGCUGGUGCGCGCGAAAGACAUGGAAAGGGAGGUCGACGUAAUCAGCGCCCUGAUGUGCGCCACAUCGCUGCCGGCUCGUCCCGGCGGCCUCGCGACAGGCACGGACGGAUCACUCCGGCCUUCCUCUCCAACGUCGACCCUGCCGGCGCGGGCGGAAGUGGUUCAUAAUAUUCCGGCGACUGAAGCGGAGGUGCGCAAGACAGACGCUCUGGUGAUGCAAUCCAAGGGGGAGGACGGUACAACCGACACCCCUGGCCCCCUGGCCCCCUCCCUGGCGCUGCGGCCGUGGGCGACGCGAGGUGGCAGGCAUGUCGGCGUGUGCACUGACUCGACGGCAGUCGCACUCGACACGGAGCACAGCAGAGACUUGACAGCAACGGCGCAGUCGUCUGAUAAGUCGCCCAUGGCUGCAUACGCGGGAACGUGCAGUGGCGACGAUCGUGGUGAGGCAGGCGAGGCGAAGAGGAGAAGGGGGGCCGUUUCCGCGGACGAGCUGGCUGCCAGCGACAGCGAGGAUGGCCGUGAUCUGCUCUCCCUCUACGUGAACAGCGACGCACAUGACUUGCCGAGCUCACCUCGGCGUGCAGCUGCGUAUCAGCAAGCGCUGCAGCAACAACAGUACCACCAGCGCCAUCUGAUGCAGACGUGGUCUAGCAUCUUUACUAUUAGUUCCUCAGGGCAUUCCGCGGCGACGACGAGCUCACUGCGAACGGCCAUCACAGGGGUGGCGCUGAGCGCCAGCGUGGCGGCUCUUGGGUCACGGCUGAAUACGUCCUCGACGAUGUCGUCUGGCACCCCGACAGCGCUGGCGUCAGUCGCGGAGGUCAUUCUGGGGAUCGGCGCUGCAGGCAGUGUUGUGGGCGGAGGCAGCGCCGGUGGCGUGCCCAGCGGCCACGCCGGAGCGAUUCCAUCCAUAGGCACUGCGGCGACCGCCACAGCAGCUGCUGGCUCUGCGGCUGCUUCUUCGUUUACGGUGACAAUGAUCGCGCCCACCACCGCAGCCGCCGCCAACUCGACCUGGACGCCGAACAGCACCGUCACUCUCAGUAGCGACUCGGCGUCUGCGGCGGGAUUCACAUCGCCAUCGACGCUCUUUGGCACCACCGUGUCCAGCUCUGCGUCCUACUCGCUGAGCCCUGAGCGAUGCGGCAUCAUAGUGAGCGGUGGCGCUGGCGGAGGGGUGACGGCGGAGGUGCACUCCGUGUCGCCAACAGGUGGGGGAGAGGGCGCGGUGUUCUUGCCGUGGUGCAGUGCAAGCGCGCCGGCACAAACAGACUGCGUCUUCCCAGUAGCCGUGAGAGCCACUGGUGCUGAUGCUGCUGCUGCCGGUGGUGGCGGUGGCGGUGGCGCUGCAUGCGACGCAGAUUUCGAUGCGCUUCGCUUGGAUGCAGCGUUCAACUCGGCGUCGGCCUCUGCGGAGAGCACGCAGUACGUGCUGAGUCGACUGAAGCCGUUGCCGCAUCUCCCGCCGCCGCACAACUACCCCUUCCUGCUACCGGAGGUGACCUCGCCGUGCCUGCGCGAUGACGAUGGCUUCGGGGAAGACGACGACGACGCCGACGCGUGCGACUACACGCAAGACGUAGAUGUCGCUGUCCUGCUGGGUGCAGACUCGGACUUUGAGCCUGAGGAGCGCCACCGCGCCACUGCGCCUGUCCGUGGAGGAAGCGACCACUCUUCGCGCGUCGAAACGCCUUGCUGUGAUGGGGCCGGCGGCGCCGGCCCUGCAUAUGACGACAGCAACGCAGAGGAUCAUGGUGCGGUCGUCAAGUGGGCAGCCUCGUCUUCACAGCAUCACGGCAACGGCAAGGUUGACGUGGGGGCGUUGCCGACCCAACCGCCUCCGGAUAGUUGCUCGAACGAGGGGCCGACGCUGACCACCGUUGCCGCCUCCAUGCGCACGGCCACCACUGAUGAUGGCGGCGCAGGCGGCGCAAGCCUCUACGCCGCUGUGGUGUCGAGGACAGUGGUGGCGCACGCAUCGAGGAUGGGCGAAGUCGGCCGUGCGGAGGACGACAGCACUACCGAAGGCCGCACUUCCUCAGUCCACCUCUCGGCGCGCUCUCUCGGCAUUUCGACUGCUCGCCUUUCAGCCCCUGCCGGCGCGGGCCCAGCAACAACAGCCGCCGCCGGGACAUCAAGUGCGGCGGCCUCCAUCAUCGAGGGCAACGAGGACAUGCGCGUCGUCAGUCUCCCUCGCAGUGGUGAAGAUGUGCCGAUCGCGCCGUCAUGGCCGCUUCUGUGCACCAACACCGCUUCUGCUGCUCCGCGCUCUCCGCGCAUAGUGAGCAACUCCCCGCUUCGGCUGCGCAGCGCCGUUACCAUCACCGCUGGCGGUGAUGCACUCGUGGUCUCGACGGCGACAACGGCGAUGGCGGCAGCAGAGAGGGAGCGUGCGGGCGCGCAGACCAACCGCAGUGCGAGCAGGCCACACCAUCUCUCUGGGGGCGGCAGUGCUCUCAUUCAAGACGGCAUGCCUGCAAGCAACAGCAACAGCGGCAACUACGGCGGUGUGUGUGGUCGCCUCUUUUCGCAAAAGCCCAACCCGCCGGAGGCGGCGCUCGAGGAGGGGGGCAGUUGGGCAGAGGUGGCGGCGACAACCGUCUCUGAGGACACCGCGAAUGCGCUCGUGACUCCAGGCCUGCCGGCGAUGCAGCACUCUUCGCAGCGGCAGACCUCCUCGUGUGCUCCGAUGGUGAGCUCGGUGACGUCCAUGGCAGUAGGAGAUAGCGAAGGAUUCGCGACGCUACGAGACGGCGGCGACCUAGAUGCCGGCCCCGCAGUUACCAAAGCAGUGCGAGCCGAACCGACGGCAUUCCUCUUCGACGACGGUGGCAUCGAACAACCCAACCGCAAGUACGUCGGCCACAGAGAAAACACGUUGGUAGGCGAGGGUGGAGCAAGUACCGCUGUGGAAGGCCGCAGUGACCGCCCGGGAGCGGAUAGGAGUAUCAGCAUCGAGGGCGACGCCGCUGCCUUGUCGCAUUCAGCGGAGACAGCAGAACCGAAGAGGAGGCACGACGACAGACGUGCAGUCGAUACGAACGCCGUGCUCAGUGGCGCUGCACCCGACGCUGGCCAUGCGUCUCGGAUCACAUCUACACCGCUUGCGAUGACGCCGGCGCUUCGGGCGGCAGGCAUUUUGGGCAGCGACGGUGCUGUCCUUCGCCUUCUGCGGGAUGCGGCGCGCAGCACAGUGCGGGAGCGGACGCCUUCCGAAACACAAUCAGAGUCGCGUGGGCCGCCACCACCACCACCGCCGCCGCUGCCGCCAACGCAGUUCUCUAUCCCGUCCUACUACCUCGCCCAGUGCGAAGACGGCCUUGCGGACGUGGCCGGCAGUCUCCACGGCUGGCAUGCAACGACGUCGGCUUUCUUUUCAGGUGCAGACACCGCCGCCGCGCCCGGCCAGACGCGCGGCAGGUCGAGCAGCCCUUCGAGUCGGUCCUCCGAUCUGUACAUCUCCGUGUCCGCGCUCGCGCGUCGCCGCGCACAACAGCGCGCAUUCUACAACGACGCAGGGCUGAGUGACACCGCCGCACCGUCGCACACGAUGGCCACGACUGCGGACACGCCAUUGCCAGCGUCAGCGAUGCCGGGGCUGUCGCCACGCCUUGGCGCGACCGCUGAUCAUUCCGAGAACGCAGCGACGCCUCCGACUUCGCCCAGCGCGGCGGCCGGCGCCACGCACAACGACCGCCUCGUGGCAUUGAUGAGGGCUGCUUUGCGGCUCACCGACGGCGAAAGCGGCGCUUGCUGAGGGGAAGGGCGGGCGGGGCAGAGAGGGGGGGCAGUGACAUUUUCGCCCCCCCCCCCCCUUCUCUCCCGCUGCUUCCACUGGCCGUGCCUCCAGAGUAAGCGCCCCGCCCACCCUUCCUCUUUUUUAUGGUUCCACAUGAUGAGAUGGGCGGUUGGGGGGACGAAGUGGCACACACACACACACACACACACACACAUACACUCACUCGUCCGUGCACCCAAGCACAGGCGCAUGCGCGUGCCGAUGCUCUUGGACACACCGAAGAAGACCCGCUCUACUCUUGCCGGCGUGGCCCUCGGUGUGCGAGCGGCCCGGUCUCGCACCCUCCCUCCACCCUCCAGAGGUGGUGUCGGGCGGAGAUGCAUGCACCGACGCUCUUGAUGGCCUCGGCGUAAUUCCUGCUCCUUCCCUGAAGCUGGCGAAGGAACAGGAGUGCUGACAUACAUCAAGACGUACACAUAUGUAUAUGCGUGUAUCCAUGUAUGCGCUCUUAUACUUCUGUGGAGCACGCGAUCUUUCCAGUGCCCUCUACGGGCUCGUCUUCCAUUCUAAGUGUUCGAGGGAGAGAGCGUGGCGCAUGCACGCCUUGCUGGCGAGAAACCCCUUUCCUCUUUUUGUCCCCCUCUUCACAUGCGUAUGCACACUCACAGGCACACCCUCAUGUGAAGCGCACGAUGGAGAACCCCGCACUACGGGCGCGUGCGUCGCCGACGCGCACGGCCGUCUCUCUUGUCCCCUCUCCCAUCACAGGGAACCUGUGCGAUGCGCCACCCCUCCCCUAUUUCUGC